AAGACCUUACUUCAUAGGAUCAUUUCUAUAGUAAGCUCUUCACCAGGCUAUCACAAUACGUGAGCUGACCCCAUCCACGAAGAUGAGAUGUGGCGCGGUGCCCUGAGCGUGAGAAAGGCAAAUGACUGUUUGGUCAUUAGCCAUCGAUGAUCGUUCACUUCCCUCUUCGGAGGGAGGCGUGGGGUACUGUCGCUGUCUGAGUGGC